rnacentral:rRNA from 1 species
CCUGCCCAGUGACAUAUUUCAACGGCCGCGGUAUCCUAACCGUGCAAAGGUAGCAUAAUCACUUGCCCAUUAAUUGUGGGCUAGAAUGAAUGGACUAACGAAAUAAAAGCUGUCUCUAUAAGAAUCUUAUAAAUUAAUCUCUAACUGAAGAGUGUUAGAUUAUAUCGAAGGACAAGAAGACCCUAUAGAGCUUUAUUUUAACAAAGAUAAAUACUUUGAAUAAAAUUCGGUUGGGGCGACCGGGGAUAUUUAUAAACACCCCCAAUAAAAAGACUAAUAAGUCGAAAUAAAGACCCUUAACAAAGAUCAUAAAAACAAGCUACCUUAGGGAUAACAGGCUAAUCCCACUAGAAAGUUCUUAUUUAUAGUGGGGUUUGGCACCUCGAUGUUGGCUUAGGGAAACUAUGUGGCGCAAAAGUCACAUAAAGAUGGUUUGUUCAACCAAUAAAUCCCUACAUGAGCUGAGUUCAGACCGGCGUAAGCCAGGUUAGUUUCCAUCCUCGAUCAAAAUUCUAUCUAUAGUACGAAAGGACCUAGAUAAGAAUAAUAAUUAUAAAAUCAUGAAUAAAUUUAAUAAAAAUUUAGUAACCUAACAUCAUACACUA